GGGCUUGUACUGGUUUCGACGGGGGUUUUAAAGUUUGGGAAGCCAUCCGCGGCUCUGGGACCGCGUCACCAACCUGGAAAUUAAAUUUAAACGCAGACGAAAACGUUUUGUGUGCUGCCUAAUGGCAGCUGUCAGACUUUAGAUUCCCACAUCUAAAACUCUGGCAUCAAAUUCCGUGGGGAACUUCGUACCUUAAGCUUUGCGGGUAUGGAAGAAUUUAUGAAGCUACUGAAGUCGUAAGCCUGUCACCGGGCGUGGGACCAAGGGAAUGUUAAAACAGUGACUGUGAUGGGAGAUGCCUGAAUGGAGAGGCUUUCGGACAGGGGUUCGAUUCCCCUCAGGUCCAU
rnacentral:tmRNA from 1 species